UACGUAGGGGCCUAGCGUUGUCCGGAUUUAUUGGGCGUAAAGGGCUCGUAGGCGGUUUGUCGCGUCGGGAGUGAAAUCCACUGGCUUAACUGGUGGCUUGCUUUCGAUACGGGCAGACUAGAGUGAUGUAGGGGAGACUGGAAUUCCUGGUGUAGCGGUGAAAUGCGCAGAUAUCAGGAGGAACACCGAUGGCGAAGGCAGGUCUCUGGGCAUUAACUGACGCUGAGGAGCGAAAGCGUGGGGAGCAAACAGG
rnacentral:rRNA from 1 species